rnacentral:rRNA from 1 species
UGGGGAAUCUUGCGCAAUGGGCGAAAGCCUGACGCAGCGACGCCGCGUGCGGGAGGAAGCUUUUCGGAGUGUAAACCGCUGUCAGAGGGGAAGAAAUGCCACCCGAGGAAAUGCGGGUGGUUUGACGGUACCCUCAAAGGAAGCACCGGCUAACUCUGUGCCAGCAGCCGCGGUAAUACAGAGGGUGCAAGCGUUGUUCGGAAUUACUGGGCGUAAAGCGCGCGCAGGCGGCCCUUUAAGUCUGUCGGUCAAACGCCGGGGCUCAACCCCGUGCUCGCCGCGGAUACUGGAGGGCUGGAGACAGGUAGAGGCAGGCGGAAUUCCGGGUGUAGCGGUGGAAUGCGUAGAGAUCCGGAAGAACACCAGAGGCGAAGGCGGCCUGCUGGGCCUUGUCUGACGCUGAGGCGCGAAAGCGUGGGGAGCGAACAGG